CAACCAUGAAAAGUUUGAGAGACCAUGCAAACCACAAGAAAUGAUGUGCUCCUGUUAUUUUGCCAUGAUCUUGUGGCCCAAUUCCAAGGCUCUAUCAACUAAUGUUAGCUACUUGCUUCUUUGGAUGCCUUAAUUAGAGCCAGCGAGGAAGAUGGGGAAGACAGAGCCAGCAAGGAAGAUGGCUCGGCCCUGCCGCUGAUGCCCACCGGCCACUUCCGUCAGGCUCCGUCGUGGGAGGGGGCGCACCAUUUUUGGGUGUUCCUUCCUACAGCUAUCUUGACCAUUUGCUUUGGAAGGAGUAAUUCAACUCAGGAAGAACAAAUAAUUUGAGACUUUUUGUCUUUCCUACGAUCUGUUCAGGAACUGUAUCACAACAGAUCAUUGGCAUUGUAGCUUCAGUGGACAUGUAUGCUGAAUAUCCCCUCACUGGACAAUAUUGGAUUUUAGUGUAUACAAGCCCUCCUCUCAGCUGCUUAGGCAUAAACACCUUACUGCAAAUGUUCUUCGUGUCUCGCCUCCCCAUCGUGAUGGGUGGCUCCUACAGCUUCGCCAUGCCAACCAUCUCCAUCAUCUUGGCUGGACGCUACGACAUGUGGGAGAUCCUCACGAGUUUAACACAUAUUGAAGGGUGGGAGGAUAUACCGGUGCAAUGGAUGAACCAAGACUACCAAGAGGUCAACUGCGUGAGUAUAUGCCAACUUGAGUACAUAUGGCAUGAGACUGACGCCGAUUAGUUCCUCCCUGAAUGCUUGACUGCCAGGAUAUUAUUUGCAGAUUUUAGGAAAGGAAACCUGACAGAGUUUCAGGGAAGUGGGGCGGUGAGACCAGAAGCUGGGUGAUCAAAGCAACUACAUGAUGCAUCUCUGUCUAUGUAGCUGUUUACCAUAAGCUGGGUGAUCAAAGCAAUCUACAUGACGCAUCUCUGUCUAUGUAGCUGUUUACCAUAAGCUGGGUGAUCAAAGCAAUCUACAUGAUGCAUCUCUGUCUAUGUAGCUGUUUUACCAUAAGCUGGGUGAUCAAAGCAAUCUACAUGAUGCAUCUCUGUCUAUGUAGCUGUUUACCAUAAGCUGGGUGAUUAAAACAAUCUACAUGAUGCAUCUCUGUCUAUGUAGCUUUACUUAGCAUAAACUGAUCUUAAUGACUUUGUUUAAACCUAUGAGCCUACCAUCUACGUAGCUUCAUACCAUCUAUAUAAUGUGUCCCUUCCUAUCUACUUCCAUUGUGUAUCACAUUGUAACG